GUAUGUUGCAUCGUCAGAAGGGGAGUCUCAGGGAUUCACACACUUGGACUUUACUUGGCUGCAUCUGCCAAACAAUCUAGUCUGCAUUUUGGUUAGCUGGAGACCAACCAGGAUUUUUCUGAUUAUAUCUUCUUCUGAAAAAAGGAUGCAUGACAUAGAAAGAAGGUCUAAGUGCCUGUCUGAGACUAUUUUACCAAACCUGGGAUAAAUGUUAUUUCUCAAAGGUAAGUGUUAUUUUCUUCUUAUGUGUUUAUAUAAAUUACGUAGCUAUAAUACAAACUAUAUAUAGAUACAC
rnacentral:lncRNA from 1 species